rnacentral:lncRNA from 1 species
GGGGGGGGGGGGCUGUGGCGCAGGUUGGUUAGCAGUCAGCUGCAAUAAAUCACUCUGACCAAGAGGUCGUGAGUUUGAGGCCAGCCCGUGUCAGGGUGAGCACCUGACAAUUAAAAUAAAAAAAUAGCCCCUGCUCAUUGUUGAUGUAAGCAACCUGAAAGAUAGUUGCAUCUAUCAAGUAGGAAAUUUCCGGUACCACUUAUAUGUGGAAUGAGGAAGUUGCCAUUGCAGUGGAUGAUGAAACAACUGCUCCCCCUGUGGCCGGAAUCAAGCAUACCCUCAGGAAGCUGGAAGCUGGCGAAGGUUUAAAUUGCCUCUGCAUCUGUCUCUGUCUCUGUUCUAUGUUUAUAUGACAUUGAAUGUUUGCCUUAUAUGUGUACAAUGUGAUCCGCCCUGAGUCCCCUUCGGGGUGAGAAGGAAGGGCGGAAUAUAAAUACUGUAAAUAAUAAAUAAAUAAAUGUCACAUUGAGGAGGAGAUGAGCUUCUUUUCUCCUGCUCCAGAGACUAGGACACAGAGCAAUGGAUUCAAAUUGCAGGAAAGAAGAGUUCACCUAAACAUUAGGAAGAACUUGUAAAACCACAGCAAUGUAUUAGAGACCUUACAACUUGAAUCUGAAAAAGAGGAUGCGUGAAGGGUUGAAAGGCAUUGAUGCUUUCUCAUGUUUGUCAGGCUGGAGAGUGUACUUGAACUUAUUAGAUCUGUGGAUUCACAAUAAACACAAUUUGGCAGUCUGGUUUUUUUUUUUUUUUUUCGUGUCAGGAGCAACCGGAGUUGCUUCUGGAGUGAGAGAAGCCUCCCACAAGGAUGGCAAAAACAUCAAAACAUCCGGGCGUCCCCUGGGCAACGUCCUUGCAGACGGCCAAUUCUCUCACUCCAGAAGCAACUCAAGUUGCUCCUGACACGAAAAAAAAAUGACACAUAACAUCUGAGGAUGCCUGCCAUAGAUGUGGGUGAAACGUCAAGAGAAAAUGCUUCUGGAACAUAGCCAUACAGCCUGGAAAACUCACAGCAACCCAUUCUAUUUUGUGCCCGUGAGAAGGAAUGGUGCUUGCAUAUAUAUUUGCUGCACAUGUCAUAAUACCUUGGGUGGCCUUGGCUGCUGUGUAGCAUAACUUGGCAAGCAUCAAACAUAGUUUCACUUCUGGAUCUGGGAAUGAAAAUAUAGUGCCUGUGUCCCACUCAUUCUGAAACUACCUUAGAGGAAUUAAGUAAAGCUAGCCCCGAAACAGGAGAAAAGACAUGAUCCAAAGAAGGGAAAAAUCUUUUUUUAACCAGUAAAGACAAUAACAGUUGAUGCUCCAAAGCUGCAAAUCAGCUGUCAUCAUUGAAGCUGAUCAAAACAUAUAUAAUGGUGCAUCAACACAAGGGAAAUGCAGUUUGAUAGCUCUUUAACUGCCAG